AUGGAGUGAUCCAGCCCCCGCAGCAGUACCUGAGGAGUGGAUUCCAAGUGACACUCAGCAACAGCUGUGAGGACUGGAGGUCACUCAACAGUUACGCGGCUCUAGAACACAGCAGCUCUAAGCCACUCAACAAUCAAGCCACCAUCGGCGAACAGAACAGAAAGACACAAUUGGGAGUUUCUGAAUAGAGGAGCUUGUGAACAGGAAAGAUGCAAUUUGUACCACUCAGCAUGACAGUGUAAACUGAAUCAAGAUUAAUUUACAUGCAAAAGAACACUUAGGAGAGCAGCACGGCUUAUAAAAACAGAAGAACAACCGAACUCACCAUAACUGGAAACAGGCGGUUUGUGUGGAGUCGCAGAAGUCAAUGCCCACUGACACAGUAACAGAACCCUCAGGCUCCAGAGAGUCUAGGAAAGAGGGGGUUUAGGUAUGAAAACAUGGAGGACACAGAAAAGAGGCAAAGGAAACACUGAACAUUCAUGCCAUCUUUGGUUAAAAAUGACAAAUUUAG